rnacentral:rRNA from 1 species
UACGGGGGGAGCAAGCGUUGUUCGGAUUUACUGGGCGUAAAGGGCGCGUAGGCGGCCAGCGCAAGUCAGUUGUGAAAUCUCCGGGCUUAACUCGGAACGGUCAACUGAUACUGCGCGGCUAGAGUGCAGAAGGGGCAACUGGAAUUCUCGGCGUAGCGGUGAAAUGCGUAGAUAUCGAGAGGAACACCUGCGGCGAAGGCGGGUUGCUGGGCUGACACUGACGCUGAUGCGCGAAAGCCAGGGGAGCGAACGGG